rnacentral:rRNA from 1 species
CCUACGGGAGGCAGCAGUGGGGGAUAUUGGACAAUGGGGGGAACCCUGAUCCAGCGACGCAGCGUGAGUGAAGAAGUAUCUCGGUAUGUAAAGCUCUAUCAGCAGGGAAGAAGAAAUGACGGUACCUGAGUAAGAAGCCCCGGCUAACUACGUGCCAGCAGCCGCGGUAAUACGUAGGGGGCAAGCGUUAUCCGGAAUUACUGGGGGUAAAGGGAGCGUAGACGGUGAUGUAAGUCUGGAGUGAAAGGCGGGGGCCCAACCCCCGGACUGCUCUGGAAACUAGGUGACUGGCGUGCAGGAGAGGUGAGCGGAAUUCCUAGUGUAGCGGUGAAAUGCGUAGAUAUUAGGAGGAACACCAGUGGCGAAGGCGGCUCACUGGACUGUAACUGACGUUGAGGCUCGAAAGCGUGGGGAGCAAACAGGAGUAGAUACCCCUGUAGUC